CCCCAGUGCAGCUACGGGCCUCUACAAUAGCGGGGAAAAUGAAAUUGUGGGUCUAUUUAGUGUUCGUGGUGGCAGCGUUGCCAGGUGCCUGGUCCCAAGUGCAGCUGGUGGAGUCCGGAGGGGAUGUGAGGAAGCCCGGAGACUCUCUGCGCCUCUCCUGCAAAGCCUCCGGCUUCACCUUCAGCAGCCACUGGAUGGGCUGGGUCCGGCAGGCUCCCGGGAAGGGGCUGGAGUGGGUCGCUUAUAUAAGGUACGAUGGCGGUAGUACAUACUACCUUGAUGCCGUGAAAGGCCGAUUCACCAUCUCCAGGGACAAUCCCAACAACCUGCUGCACCUGCAAAUGACCGGCCUGAAGCCCGAGGACACCGCCCGCUAUUACUGUGCGAGACACACAGCGACACGAAACCUAUUGACGCUCCUGCAAAAACCCAGGCUGCAGAACCCGCGGCCGCCACGCGGGGGCAGCAGAGACACGAACAACCGGGCGCUGGUCAGAGAACGGAAAAGGCGCCUCCAGGCGAAUAAAACACAAACCUGCAGCGAAGCUUUAACCCUUUCACUGCCCAGCCACGUCCUCUCUUUGCAGCCACAGUCCCUCUGGGCCCGUGGAGGUGUCCUCGCUCAGGUGCGGCUGGUUAAGUGA